CCUUGCCCCGUUGCCGUCAGCCCCAGCUAGAGGUGACCAUAUAGAAACGAAGGGGUGAACUUGGAGUAGGUAGAAAGAAGGCUGCAUCCUGGUAUUCAGUGUGUACUCGUGCUCGAAUGCUCCGGGAAGACGGAGAGGAUACAAUGGGGAUGGACCCAGCGGCUCCAUGAGAGCCUCCUCCGGGAACUGUGGUUAACGCCCUCCGCAGUGUACGUGAACCCUCAGUAUUGGAACACGAUGGAUUAUUCCAGAACGACCGCCUCCUACCCUCUAAUGGUACCUUCCGAGUGAAUGGUCUUACCUCCGGCCCUGUCAGUGGGAAGGUGAGAGUUCCAUUCCAUACAUCAGGAGUCAAGCAGGGUGUUUGAUCCAGAGACACAGAAACAUAUCCUGACGGAACAUGACCAGAUGUAUGUGGACAGCUGCAAGAACAAAGGAUUCUGGCACUAAGAAGUUUGCAAUAACCAGCAACACCUCCUCUCCUUUUGGUAUGAAAGAUGUCUGAAUUCUAACUCAGAUGUCAGUGCUCCUGGUCUCAUGCUUUUGGACACAGAGUGGGACUUACCAUCAGACCCAUGAAUCUCAGUACUUCAGACUUGGACUGAAUUACACCACUGACUUUCCUGUUCUCCAGCUUGCAGAGAGUAAAUCAUGGAACUUCUCAGCCUCCAUGAUCACAUGAGACACAGAAAAUCUAAGAAGAUUCAUCACCAGAUCUGCCUGACAAGAAGUGUUAAAACAAGUCUUUCAGGAAGAAGGAAAAUGAUAGUAAAUGAAGAUAUAGGUCUCCGGAAAGGAAUGGAGAGCAUCUGAAAUAUUAACUGCAAGGGCAAAGGUGUGAGAAUUUUUCCUGCUAUUUAAACUUUAUGAAAGAUAUUUGACUGUUUAUGAAUCCCCUCGAGGAAGUGUAGGGAUAUAAACAUCCUACGUGAAAGUAACAACCCCACAAAGUUUGAGUGGAGAGAAACAGAAUAUUGCUCUAAUAUUCUCAUAGUAUAAUUCAGCUAAAUAAAAAUACUUUUAUUGCAAUAGACUUUUAAGAAAAGCAUAGGCAAUAAGUUCAAGAUCAAACACUAAGAAAACAAAAUGUAUUGCUAAGAAGCUUACAAAAGGGAAAACGGAACACACGCAUACACACACAAAGUACCGAAAAAGGAAUAAAAAAGGCACAAGGGUUCCAAGGUCAGAUGGAAGGGAAAUAAAGCAGCUUCCCAGGAACAGUCCUGCCUUCCUAAUUUUGCCACACUCAGUCACAGCCUGAGAGCAUCCUGUGGGAAGGGUGGUCUAGUAAUAAUGCAGAGCUGGAUUUCAGAAUGCAGCAUCUGGUGCCUUCAGGCAAUUAAUCUUCCUUCCAUCAAAUUCCUGAGAUGCACAUCCUAAUGGUAGCCACAUUGCUGCCCCUGUGGAGAAAACUCUUCCCCCAUCCUGGUUAACUUGUCCUACUCCCUCAGUUCUGAGAUUCCUGGCAUUUCAUCAGGCAAGCUCCUCUGACUUCCCCCAAAUGGCAAAUGCUGAUUAAGUCCCCUUCAUUUCCUAUAAACCAAGUGGUGUUUGCAAGUCUGUUGUAGUUGCUUGUGGAAUUGUCUGUCUCUCCAUAGCCCAGUGGAAUGUGAUUUCAGCCUCGCGACCCCAGUGCCCAGCCCAGUGUUCUGAAAUUCACAGCACACGCAUCUCCUCUCCAGGGCAGUGCAGGGCCGUUCCCAAUGCCUGUAGCUUUGUUCCUCUAUAUAUCUCUGUGCCCUAAUUCCUCACUGUCUUCAAGUAUCUGCUCACAUGUCUCCUUGUCAAUGAGGCUGACCCUGAACACUCCAUUUAAACCUGUUUGUCCACCAAUCAGCACUGCCAGGCUUCCUUUCCUUCACUAGUUUUCUAAUGACAUAUACUGCACUGCAUCAUUUGUUAAUGUAUUAUUCUCAUUGCUUUUUGCUGUCUCUCCCCCUAGAAUAUAAACUCAACAAGGUCAGACAUUUUAGAUUGCUUAGUUCACUGGUGUAUCCAUCUCCUGAAACACUGCCUGGCACAUAGAUGUUCUUCAAUAAACAUUAGUCUCUGGAAUGAAUGAAGUGCCUAGUGCAGAGCAGGUGCUCAGUGAAUGGUAGCUUUAUUUUGCUGCUGUCUUGGUUGAGUGAUGCAGGAAGGGAGAUGGUCAAUGAGAGAACAGUGCAAAUUGCUGGACACAGAAGGAGGAGGCUAUUGGAUGUGGUCAUCAUUACCUACUUAGUUGUCCAGACCAGAGCCCUGGCAGCUUUUCCCAAAUGUGUAGGUGCUUCUCUCCCCACUCCCCUAGUAAAGAACUUCCAUAUUACUCAGUCCACCCACACUCACCCCGGAGAGGUUCACUGAGGCAGAAAGUGGGAACUGGAAUCCUUUGUACUUUACUCUAUGACCCCUCAUCAAACCUUUUACUUUUAAAGUACUUCAGGGGAGAGAGGACAAGAUGGCGGAGGAGUAGGGGGACACGCUCGCCCUCUCCCACAAACACAACAAAAAAAGCACAUCUACAGAAUAAAUGACUCGCACAGAACAGCAACCA